rnacentral:lncRNA from 1 species
ACCUUAUGAAGAUACAUUUUUUUAAAAAGUCAUGACUUCAAAAUAAAAUGAAUGGCGGCCUUUAUGGGGUGUGACCUAACAAGCUCUUUCAGUGUAUCAGAAACUUGCUAAAUGCUUUUCUUUUGUUCUCUCAUAUAGUCCCUAAAGUGGACUCAUACUUAAGGGUGAAAGAAGCAAAGCAUAGGCUAACAACAGAGCUUUUGCCCUAGGGAGCAAAUAUUUUAUUGUCAGAUUAAAGUGCUGUCACAUUUAUGUGUAAGUAGGUAUUUUUUUUUAAAUCUUAGGAAAUUCUAAGAGUUACUUUCUAUAUUCUAUAUAUACCCAAUAAAACCUAAUCAUUUUAAAUUUGGGUUCUAUGUAUAAUUUGAUGAAAUCAAUAGUUUAUUUUAACUCUACAAAUAAAUUAAUGGGGUGAUAAGCAGGUCAGGUUUUAAACCGGAGACAUCUGAAGUAUCACAAUGACUCCUAUUUUGUGAAACAUCCCAACUUUGAUAAAGUUUGUGCCCUUGACAGUAGUAAAAUUUACUUUUAUAGGGAUGUUGUUACUAAAGUUUGUACUGACCUAGUGUAUUAAAUUUGUCUUCAUUAGUUAAAUUUUUCUUUGUAUAUUUUAAAACAUGUCUUUCACUAAAAUUUUUAUGUGGUAGAUUUGAACAGGUGAAUAUAUGACCAUGAUGUAAUCCAGUGCUGUGCUGGUGGGUGUUUUUCUCUCAUGAGGAACUGCUGUUCUUUAGUGUUUAUUGACAUUUGUGGUAUAAAUACUCUCACCAUGGCUGAGUUCACCUACCCAUCUGAUGUCAUUAAACGUGCAAUUAGAGAGCUGGCUGGAGUGCCAGCUCCAACACAGCCCUGAUGUGUCAUUCCACAACUCACUUCCUUAAAUUUAUUGUUUGGUGAUUAUAUCCGAUCUUUGAAGAGCCUUCUGUUUUAUGUUAAUUUAGCAAGCAUAUGGACACUAGUUUAUUUCUAGAAGCGUACCUGGGCACUAGGGUUUUUAAUCUGGAAAGACCCAAGCAAGUGUUGUGAAAUCUGGUUUUAAAAAGUUGAGUUACUGUGCGAAUGUAAAGGUUGCACAUUCAUGGCAAAUACUCUGAAUUCUCUCUGCAGUUGUGUUGUGUUUGACCCUUGCAGUGUUUUGAAAACUUGGAUUUUGUACAGCUCGAAGAGUAUUCACAUUCAAGGUGGCCACUAGCCUACCACUACCAGUUUUUUGAAGCCUCGGGCAUUCAGAUGCAUUUUAAGGCCUCUGAAUUGACAUAGCCUUUGUAGACAGAAAAGGGCGUUUCUUUUAUUUUUUUUAUUUUAUUUUAUUUUUUUUUCCUUUUUUUUUUUUUUUGUCUUUUUGCUAUUUCUUUGGGCCGCUCCCACGGCGUAUGGAGGUUCCCAGGCUAGGGGUCGAAUCAGAGCUGUAGCCACUGGCCUACGCCAGAGCCACAGCAACUCGGAUCCGAGCCGCGUCUGCAACCUACUGCACGGCUCACAGCAACGCCGGAUCGUUAACCCACUGAGCAAGGGCAGGGACCAAACCCGCAACCUCAUGGUUCCUAGUCUGAUUCCUUAACCACUGCGCCACGACGGGAACUCCAGAAAAGGGCGUUUCUUAUGUCACCUCUUAACUCUUCUGGUUUUGGGGUCUUAGAGGAUUUGAAUUUAUAUUGUCAUUUUCUGGUGAAGACUUACACCAAAAAUGUAUUUCUUUUCAGACCUGCUUGCUUCUAUGUAUUCUGCUUAUUUUAUGCCAGUGGAUAAGAAUUCAGCGUAUACAUCAGUAUAUUUUUGAAAUCUGUGCUUGUCCAACUCACAGGUCUGUGGAAUUUAAUGAAAACAGAGUGCCGUGAUUCAGGCUUUUGGGACAAGGAAAAGUGAUCCUGGAUAUAAGUGGUGAUUUAAAUGCCCAUUGAGUAAUGUUUUAAUUUGUUCUCUGAAAUCUUGAGAAGAUGUUAUCCAAGUUACAGUGCAAACAGUGAGCGUUACAACUUCAACUAAAUUCUCAACAUUUUCCCUCAGUCUCAAGUGGAGGGACAGAGGAAGCAAAUACGCCAGGAAGCCUUCUAAUUUUGACUAAACAACCAUUAAAUAAAAGGCAUCAAAGGAUUGUGACUUGAUGUUAGUGUUUCAUAGAAUGCUAUGGAUACAAUCAGGUUUUUUAAAGACUUUAAAGGUUUUUAAUAUGUUACCAUAAAUAGUACAUGUUUAUGAUGUUUAAAAAUUAUGCAUUGUACAAAGGAUGUAAAGUGAAGAAGCUUGUCGCCUUCCUGUGACUUGAUUCCCACAUUCCAAGGAAAUACCGUUUCUUGUGUUCUUGUAUAGGCUGUCAGAAAUGUUAACGUUUAUUUUAUAUACCUCUUUAUAUGUGUGUGUGUAUGUGUGUGUGUGUAUGCCUCUCACUGUCCUCCCUUAUUUUAAAUGUAUGGUUUUAUAAAACUUGGUUCUCUUUGUUUUAACUUGAUUAUCUUUCCAUAUUACCACAUCCAGCUCUAACUCAUUAUCUCCUAAUGAAGCCAAGAUACCAAUAUAUGGAUGCCCCUUUUUGAAGAAUAUUUGUUUAUAUAGUUUUUCUGCUAAAAACAGUGAUACAAUGAGAAUAUCCUUAGGCAUAUAUGAAGGUUAGUCUUGAUUCUUCCUGACCCUUAAGUCAAUAAAGUAGACAUCAUUCAAUUUUGAGUCUCACCUGCUGAUUGAUGAUGAGCUUAUGCUUCCAUUAGGAAAUUCUUCCAUUUAAGGAAGGAAAAAUAUCCCUGAAAUUGACUCUCUCAAAAUAGGAUAUUUGGAAAGGCCUGUGCGUUUUAAUUGAACUGUGAAGGCAUUCUAUUAGUUCAUUGAAAGAGUGUGAAGUUCACAUCCAGUUGGUACCUUAAUUUUCCGUGACCCUUAGAGUUUCUGAAAGUGCAGUUUGAGACUUACUACUCAUUGAGAUUGUGCCUUUCCUUAUCCAUAUUAACUUAGAAUGUACCUUAUUUUCGAGAAUGAGAACGUAAAUUUUAAUUUGGCAAAAUCUAUUUUGGCACAAGUACAUGGUUCAUUAUUUCUUCAAAAGUAGUUACUUUUGCCUUAGAAAAUAUUUAGGUAAUAACUGAAAGUUAUCACAAGAUCAGGGUCCAGAGAAUUUAACAUGUAUUUACCAUUAGUCAAGGACAGGACUUGCUUUCAGGAAUAGUUUAUGAGAAAUUAAUCUCAGCCCUAAUAGCUGCUAGAGAAAGUACCUUAGCACUUAGGGCUGGAAAUAGUGAGAAGAGAAUUUGAAAUCUG